rnacentral:tRNA from 1 species
GUGGGAUACGAACCCACACCCGAGAACUCAAAAUCCUCCGUACUACCUCUAUACUAUCUUCUAGUAAAGUCAGC